rnacentral:rRNA from 1 species
AUGGCUCAGGAUGAACGCUGGCGACAGGCUAACACAUGCAAGUCGAGGGGCAGCAUAGAAGUAGCAAUACGUUGGUGGCGACCGGCGCACGGGUGAGUAACGCGUAUGCAACCUACCUAUCAGAGGGGAAUAACCCGGCGAAAGUCGGACUAAUACCGCAUAAAACAGGGGCACCGCAUGGUGAUAUUUGUUAAAGAAAUUCGCUGAUAGAUGGGCAUGCGUUCCAUUAGGUAGUUGGUGAGGUAACGGCUCACCAAGCCGACGAUGGAUAGGGGAACUGAGAGGUUGGUCCCCCACACUGGUACUGAGACACGGACCAGACUCCUACGGGAGGCAGCAGUGAGGAAUAUUGGUCAAUGGGCGGGAGCCUGAACCAGCCAAGUCGCGUGAAGGAAGAAGGAUCUAUGGUUCGUAAACUUCUUUUGCAGGGGAAUAAAGUGCAGGACGUGUCCUGUUUUGUAUGUACCCUGAGAAUAAGGAUCGACUAACUCCGUGCCAGCAGCGGC